GCCAUAACUCAGUGGUGGAGCAUCUGCUUUCCAUGCAGAAGGCCCCAGGUUCAAGCCACAGCAUCUCCCGGUAGGGGUA